UACAGAGGUGGCGAGCGUUGUCCGGAAUCACUGGGUGUAAAGGGUGCGUAGGCGGGCGUGCGCGUCUGGGGUGAAAGGCUCCGGCUCAACCGGGGACAUGCACUGGGUACGGCACGUCUUGGGUGCGGGAGAGGGCGAUGGAAUUCCUGGUGUAGCGGUGAAAUGCGUAGAUAUCAGGAGGAACACCGGUGGAGAAGGCGGUCGCCUGGCCCGCAACCGACGCUGAGGCACGAAAGCGUGGGGAGCAAACAGG
rnacentral:rRNA from 1 species